rnacentral:rRNA from 1 species
GUGCCUACGGGGGCAGCAGUGGGGAAUAUUGCACAAUGGGGGAAACCCUGAUGCAGCGACGCCGCGUGAGUGAAGAAGUAUUUCGGUAUGUAAAGCUCUAUCAGCAGGGAAGAAAUACUGACCUUACGGUCAGCAGACGGUACCUGACUAAGAAGCCCCGGCUAACUACGUGCCAGCAGCCGCGGUAAUACGUAGGGGGCAAGCGUUAUCCGGAUUUACUGGGUGUAAAGGGUGCGUAGGCGGGUAAGCAAGUCAGAAGUGAAAUCCAUGGGCUUAACCCAUGAACUGCUUUUGAAACUGUUUAU